CCUACGGGGGGCAGCAGUGGGGAAUAUUGCGCAAUGGGCGAAAGCCUGACGCAGCGACGCCGCGUGAGGGAUGAAGGUCUUCGGAUCGUAAACCUCUGUCAGCAGGGAAGAACGGUCACUGUGCUAAUCAGCAGUGAAUUGACGGUACCUGCAAAGGAAGCACCGGCUAACUCCGUGCCAGCAGCCGCGGUAAUACGGAGGGUGCGAGCGUUAAUCGGAAUUACUGGGGGUAAAGCGCUCGUAGGCGGUAUGUCAAGUCAAGGGUGAAAUCCCGGCGCUCAACGUGGGAACUGCCUUUGAAACUGGCAAACUGGAGUGUGUGAGAGGAUAGUGGAAUUCCAGGUGUAGGAGUGAAAUGCGUAGAUAUCUGGAGGAACAUCAGUGGCGAAGGCGACUAUCUGGCACAUAACUGACGCUGAGGAGCGAAAGCGUGGGUAGCAAACAGGAUUAGAUACCCUAGUAGUC
rnacentral:rRNA from 1 species